rnacentral:rRNA from 1 species
CUGCCUUGAUGACUAGCUACUGAAUCAAAGAGUUUAUUUAAACUCAUGAUGUCGUAAGGGAAAAUAAUGAUAAUACCUUACUAUGAGUGUCGUCCAAAUCUGGUGCCAGAAGACUCGGUAAGACCAGAGACGCAAACGUUAAUCAUCAUAAUCAGGCGUAAAGGGUUUGUAGGCAGCUCUAACAUUAGAGCUAGAAUCAAAAAGAGGUUAUAGUGUAUAACGCCUAGAGGAGGGCUGAUAUCCAUAGAUCCUAGGCAGAAUACUCAGGGCGAAGGCCACUCUCCAGUAAUGAUUGACGCUGAGAAACGAAGGUUAGGGUAGGAAAUAGGAUUAGAUACCCCGGUACUCCUUUCUGUAAACGAUGAAUGGUAGUCAUUAGUUCUAACUAGAGACGAAGUUAACACAAUAACCAUUCCGCCUUGUGAGUACUACUGCAAAGUAGAAAACAAAAAAAUUAGUCGGUCUCGAAGCAAACGGAGUGAAGCAUGUUAUUUAAUUAAAAAAUAUUCCGCAA